AAAAAUGUCGAUGAAUAAUCGAUAGGGCGGUCAGCUGUGACACACUAAAGUGAGGUCUUACUAGAUGUAGCAAGAAGUAGCUGGAAUAUACCAGACUGGAUGCAACCCUUGUUAGCUGCACCCGAUAAAUUUGGUAUAAUUCGGUUAUCGGAGAAAAAGUGUUGUUCAGCUGAUCGUGGUUUCCGCCGAUGGGCUACGCCUCGACUAAUGUUUCCGGUUUGCCUUCUUUUCGAUCUGAACAGUCAACGCGUCGAGUGGCGAAAGUGCAUCGGAAAAAUUUGAACUUGCGGUUAUACGGAAUCUUUUGUCGCGCGAAAUAGCGAAAAUACGGCGUUCCUUCGCCUAUAGUGGUGCGCGAAAUAAUUCCGGCGUGUGUUUCCCGGCGAUAUUCAGCCGAAGAGAUCGGCGUUCGUCACGGCCAUCCCACGGCCGCCUUGCCGCCAAAUCCUAGCUUCGACUGGGACAAAUUGCAGCCGAAAUUGAAGACCGGAGGGUUUUCGCUGGACAUCUAAUACGUUCGCAUCACUGCCCGGGUCCCACGAUUUUACGAAGCCGCCACCGGCGGGCAGAAGGAGAGACGGCAACUGCGCCAGGCCGAGGAGUGGAUCGCCUUUCCAGCAAGCCGGAGCGAAGGACCAGCCGCAGCAGCAGGACAGCGACCGCCCUAAGCCGGGGCCACCAGGAGAGAUAUUUAAACUAAUCAAAAUGCAGCCUAAGUAGACAUUAAAGUGAGGUUAGAGUGAAUGGAAAAUUUUUAUUGCUUGAUUGACUGUCCAGAAUGCCCAAAAUUAAAUUAAAUCAAUGUUAAA